rnacentral:rRNA from 1 species
AUUGAACGCUGUCGGCCGCCCUCACACAUGCAAGUCGACCGAGUGGCGGACGGGUGAGUAAUGUCUGGGAAACUGCCUGAUGGCGGGGGAUAACUCCUGGAAACGGUAGCUAAUACCGCAUACCAUCGGAUGUUCCCCGAUGGGAUUAGCUAGUAGGUGGGGUACAGGCUCACCUAGGCGACGAUCCCUAGCUGGUCUGAUAGGAUGACCAGCAACACUGGAACUGAGACAAGGUCCAGACGCCUACGGGAGGCAGUAGUGGGGAAUAUUGCACAAUGGGCGCAAGCCGGAUGCAGCCAUGCCGCGUGUAUGAAGAAGGCAUUCGGGUUGUAAAGUACUUUCAGCGGGGAGGCGUUACCCGCAGAAGAAGCACCGGCUAACUCCGUGCCAGCAGCCGCGGUAAUUC